UGAACGCUGGCGGCGUGCCUAAUACAUGCACGUCGAGCGAACGGACGAGAAGCUUGCUUUUCUGAUGUUAGCGGCGGACGGGUGAGUAACACGUGGAUAACCUACCUAUAAGACUGGGAUAACUUCGGGAAACCGGAGCUAAUACCGGAUAAUAUUUUGAACCGCAUGGUUCAAAAGUGAAAGACGGUCUUGCUGUCACUUAUAGAUGGAUCCGCGCUGCAUUAGCUAGUUGGUAAGGUAACGGCUUACCAAGGCAACGAUGCAUAGCCGACCUGAGAGGGUGAUCGGCCACACUGGAACUGAGACACGGUCCAGACUCCUACGGGAGGCAGCAGUAGGGAAUCUUCCGCAAAGGGCGAAAGCCUGACGGAGCAACGCCGCGUGAGUGAUGAAGGUCUUCGGAUCGUAAAACUCUGUUAUUAGGGAAGAACAUAUGUGUAAGUAACUGUGCACAUCUUGACGGUACCUAAUCAGAAAGCCACGGCUAACUACGUG
rnacentral:rRNA from 1 species